rnacentral:tRNA from 1 species
GGGCUGGGGCUCAGUGGCAGAGCGCUUGCCUAGCAUGUGUGAGGCACUGGGUUCAAUCCUCAGCACCACA